CCCCCGGCCCGGCGCGGCAGGGAAGGCAACUGCAUCCGAGUUCGGCGCGCUGGCGGCGGGGACGCUCGGCUGGUAGCUCCGAGCAGGACUCGGGCCCAGCCAGUGGUGCUUUCGGUUUCGAGUCCCUUUGGAGGAAACGAGCUGUCGUGUCAUGAGCCGCCCUUUGAAAGGCAGCAGCCAGCAAGGUACUGACGUCCCACACGAGUGAGCUUGGAAAUGGACACCCCCACCCCGUUGAACCUUGCGAUAACUGCAGUCCUGCCAACAUCUUGACUACAACUUUAUGAGAGACCCUGAACCAGAACCACCAGCCAAGGCCUCAUUUCCUGACCCUCGGAAACUAUGUAAGAUAAUAAAUAUUUAUUGCUUUCAGCA